rnacentral:tRNA from 1 species
GUUAGGGUGGCAGAGCCCGGACAUUGCGAGAGUCCUAAGCCCUCUUCACAGAGGUUCAAAUCCUCUCCCCAACU